rnacentral:lncRNA from 10 species
AAGAGGGGACAUCUUUGUCUUGUUCCUAUUUUUGAGGUUACUGUGGGCUCUGAAAUGUCCAUUUGUACGUUCAACAAAAAGAGUGUUUCCAAUGGGGUGAAUCCAAAUGGAGUUUCCAUUCUGUAAGGCCUCAAAGGGCUCAGAGUUGUCCAGUCGUGGAUUCUACAAAAAGACUGUUUCCAAUCUGGUGAAUCAAAAAACAGGCUACAUUUGGUGGGACUAAUCUACUCAUGACAAAGCAUUUUCACAGAUAUAUUGUUUCCACUUUUUAUCGCAGGAUAUUUUGUUUCUCACUAUAGGCAUCAAUGGCCUCAGAAACCCAGCCAUAGAUUCUACAAAACAGUGCUUCCAACCUGCAGAAUCAAAACACUGGUUCUAUUCUGUGAGAGAAUCCACAUAUCACUAAGAAUUUUCACAUAUAGCUUCUUCUAGUUUCUAUGUGGGAUAAUUUGUUUUCACUAUAGGCAUCAAAGGGCUCAGAUAUGUCCGUUUGUAGAUUCUAC